UGCUGUAUUCUCAGGGGUGAGCCUCAGGAUCAAAGAGAAAGCCUUCACCUGUCAAGCCAAUCGGAAGUGGAGGAAUCUUAAAGCUCUAUAGUUGUACGACGCAAGAAACAAGAAAUCAAUGACAAUCUGCACAAGAGGGGUCAAAGGGACAAGACUCACUGCAGUGAGUCAACGAAACGGUCUUAAAAACUGUGCGGUUAUGUGUUUUUACUGCACUGUGCUUUUAAUGCAUUGGUCACUCCAUACACACCCGUGUGCAAAAAUUUGUUAAAAUUAAUCUUUCGACCUCGUCUACUGUUACGGAUUCACCUCAGGCUACGAGCCAGCUGCUGGACCAACAUCUGUCAUCUCAGUGGUAAGGAGUUCCACUGUGUCACACCAGGCCUGAAAGUCACACCGGAAAGAGAGGAAGCCGGCAGAGUUGACGGCAGGUCGGGGGGCCUAGGUGCAGUGUCACCGACGAUAUAAACAACCGCACACACAUGGCAACUACACCUGCGACGGGGUUCAAAGGAUUGUGGGACACUGGACAUCCGGAAAUCUCGCAGAGUUGAAAUCUUGGCAUGUCACGCCGCCCAGCCAUCCAGGACACACUUUAGCUCAGCAAGGGAGCCCGCGCCCCACCUCAUCUCUCAUGCUGUAAGUAGAGGGUCGACUCCGCCAAAAGACAGUGGGAUGCUAAUUCAUAGCUCUGCUCUUUCUGGGCCUAAAGCUGCAAUUACAUGCUUAUUACUGCCUGUCCUUUCAAUCGUUUGUGUGUUCUCACAGACAGUAAAGGGUGUUAUUCUUCCCAUAAUCCCCCCCCCCAAAAAGUUUCCAACCUUUGCCAAGAAGGUUUUUAAUUUGUUUUUUUUUCUCGUUUAUUUGUUUCUUUUUUUUUCUUUGUUAGCAUUUUAUUAUUGAAAUGGUGGUGUAAUGUUAAGAUUAGAGGCAAAGGAUUUUUUUUUACAUAGAUUAUAAUGUCAGUGUUCAACUCAGCCCUACUCUGGUUUAAAGGGACUUGUCUUGAAAUAUCUCUAUGAUGUCUACAGGAUGGAUCCUAAUAACUUUGGAAGUCACCUGACCUUUUUAUCUAUUUCAACCAACUCAUCAAAAUUGUUGAUGGUCACGUAAUUUUGCGCAUUUAGGACAUUCGUGACACCCGACGACCACAAAGGUUGUUUCUUCAAGCAGCUCAUCAGACCUAUGUGGUCGUUUUAAAGGGGCAGUAAGCAAUUUUGGAGAAAGAUUGUUUUUUGUUCAUUGCACUGGCUGCACUGGUUGAGCCUCAAACCCGCAGUAUAAGGUGUGGGAGACUUUGUGAAAAUGUAUUCUGUAAAGUAAUCGUGAUGAUUCUCUGCCAUGUCACCCUAAUCCUAACAUAACCCUUGCCUUAUGAAAAUUAUUUGUGGCAUACCUCCUGUCACCGGAAGAAGAGCUAAUUUAGGAAACGGUCGAUUUGGUUGUAUUAGAACACAUAUGACAUUUGGCGUAUGAGUUGGAGGACUUUUUGACAUUUAUCGUUUCCACGUGAUAUAUCCCACUGACUUGUGAGGUCAUAACUAUUAUUUACUACAAUCAUUAGACACAACUUCCCAGCUUUUGUUUUUUUUUAAUGCGCUGCAAGUGUCAUGACAAUUUGAACCAUUUCCUGUGCACAUUUAUGAUGCUCCUGUGUGGCCGUGUGUGCCAGAGUUUCCUCUGUUUGUUGUGGUCUUAAUGCCAUGCUGCUGUCUGAAUUUAGCAGCAGUUUGUUGUGGAGUUAGAGUAAAAUAUUCCCAAAUUGGACAGAUGGGUGCAGACCAUCCUCUUUUAUUUAUAUUUUUUGAAAAGUGUAGGCCUAAAAUGUACAUCAAGCUAAUAAUCUUCGUAUUCCGAGAUUUACGACAAUUGGAAUCUGCCAUGCUGUGUCAGUGUAAAUUACGGGGGAAAACAAAACAAAAACUAAGACUAAGCGGAUUUUUGCUGCAUUUCAAUUUCAUUUUUGUCUGUGUUGCAUUGUUCAUUGUAGUUUUUAUUUUGUUUUAAUUACUAUUUUAAAUGAAAAAAUGUUCUCACCAGUAAUUUCACUUUUAGUUUUAGGUUCCAUUAACUAUAAUAACCCUGUUUUUGUGUACACGUGCAUAUGAAUGAAAAGAGCAAGAGAGAGAGAGAGCGAGAGAGAGAGAAGAAGUGCAUAUACACAACUGUUUAUUUUGGCUCUCCAACAAAAUAUGUCCCUACCAAAGAAACAAUAAAUCCUAAACCGUUUGGCUACUAUAUCACCUGAAAUGCUUGACAAUACUAUUACCUACUACUAUAUGUAUUUAAAUGUAUUUCAAAGAUCUUAACAUUUCUAUAUAUGUAGACAACUAAUUAAACUGGUGGGGGAAAAAAACACUAACCCUGGAAACUUAACAAAAAUUUCAGUUUCAUUUUGUCACUUUUAUGAGAUAUCCACCUUCUUCAGUGGAUAAUGUUACAUGAGAUGUUCACAGCAUUAAAAGAAAAAAAAAUUAAUCAAUAUUUGUUCCUUUCUCUAUGACACACAGUAUUUGUUGUUUGACUUUACAACUCCAGCCUUCCAAAUGACAGGAGAAUCUAAAGUUUACAGCCAGGGUGGUUUAGUUGCCGUCGUGACAUCAAUUCACAUAGACGGGCCGUUUAUAACGGGGAUCCUACAGGGUUUUAUACACCUUGAUUACAAGGGAUAUUCACAUUGAAAUGUGGCCAGUAAACGCAGGCUAGGUCUGGAGUGUAUACCGAUGCUAUCAGAUAAAAGCCAUGCCACGUCUAUAGUUCAUAUAUAAAUAAAGGGUCAGCAUUAUCAGCGAUGCGAAAAAAUCUGUUUUGAAAUACAUGUAAUGACUGUUUUCAUCAUGUACCCUAACUUAUUCCGAGAUAAGGUUUAGUUUAAACUUCCAAGAAUAGUGCCAGUGAUGUUGUCUUAGUAAAUCUUUAGUUUAUUAUACAAUUAGUCCAUAGCCUGAUAAAAACAGUGAGUUUCCCUUGGCUGGCAAAGUAACUGUCGGUGUUCCUGCCACACCGCAACCUUUAUGAUAAUACCUCCGCUCUCUUUCCACUACUGACAACACACACACACACACACACACACACACACACACACACACACACACACACACACACACACACACACACACACACACACACACACACACACACACACACACACACACACACACACACACACACACACACACACACACACACACACACACACACACACACAAUAGUGUUUGUGCCUCUGAUAAGACAUCAGAGAGAGUUUUUGUUAAUUGUUUCGCUGAAUUCCUGGCAGAGAGGAAGUGCUUCCAUAACUGCAGCCCAGAUGCCAGAGGUCAGAUGGCACCAAAAAAAGAGAGAAAAAGGAUCACAGGCAGAUGAUCCGCAGCCAAAAACAACAGCGGCUCUGUUGCCAAAGAGAAACAAUAAGCACAGUUUCCAUUAGAUGCCCCCGCUGCUGCCAUCACUCAUGAUAUGCUGGGAGUUCCAUUACAUUAGUCGGUGUUGUAGCUGCGAGAAACAACGGAGCGGCUGUUUUAGAAGAUGCUUAGCAUGCGCAAUGUGUUGCAGCCUGGCUUGAAGUUGCUGUUCUGUAGAAGAACAUCAAAGCGACAAGUCUGUUUCUGUUGUUUAUUUUAAUGAAGACUCUUUACUUUAAGUGACAAAUGACUGACAUUAAAUUAAAAUGUAACUUUAACAUAAGAAAAAAGAUAAGGCUUUGCUGUGAUGGAUCAUUCUGCUUUUUGUCCACACACUGCAGUAAAAGAAUGAAUGGAAAUAAAUGCAUCUUUGUGUGUGUGGAAAUAUGCAGCAGGGGUAUGAAAUAACUAUUGAUGUGAAAGUUUAACUGGUUUGUUAUGAAAAAUAUGUAUCUAUUCAUUUUUUAUGAAUAUUCCGAAACAUCCUGCAGUUAAAGUAGAAUAGAACUAGUCUUCAUUGUCAUUUCACCCAGGUACAAUUACAUUUUUUCGCAUAACAUCUUUCCUAUGUGGGUUAGAGUAGGAAAAUAAAAUAUGAGAUGAUAAAAAAAACAAGCAGCACCAGCAGUAGUAUUAGCAUUGGGUUUUCAAAAAACUUGUCUUAGUACAACUUUAAAAUAAAAUACUUUUGUUGAAAUAGAUUUUACAUAUUUACAGAAGAUGAAUUAUUAAACUGAAGGAAAAGGUAAAUAGAUGCCAAAUUAUUAUGUUUAUGAAUUAUGUCCUUGGUAACAAGUACCAGGGGGUGGAGGAGGGUGUGUGUGUGUGUGUGUGUGGGGGGGGGGGU